CAAGUCGAACGAGAAUCUCUAGCUUGCUAGAGAGGAAAGUGGCGGACGGGUGAGUAAUAUGUAGGAAAUCUGCCCUUGAGAGGGGGACAACAGUUGGAAACGACUGCUAAUACCCCAUAUGAGAUAUUUUGAAAUAAGUAUCUUGAAAACUCCGGUGCUCAAGGAUGAGCCUGCAUCUGAUUAGCUGGUUGGCGGGGUAAAUGCCCACCAAGGCGACGAUCAGUAGCUGGUUUGAGAGGAUGAUCAGCCACAAUGGGACUGAGACACGGCCCAUACUCCUACGGGAGGCAGCAGUAGGGAAUUUUGCGCAAUGGGGGAAACCCUGACGCAGCAACGCCGCGUGUGUGAUUAAGCCCUUCGGGGUGUAAAACACUGUCAGUGGGGACGAAAUUUGACGGUACCCACAGAGGAAGCACCGGCUAACUCCGUGCCAGCAGCCGCGGUAAUACGGAGGGUGCAAGCGUUGUCCGGAAUCAUUGGGCGUAAAGCGUUCGUAGGCGGCAUAGCAAGUCUGGUGUUAAAUCCCGGGGCUCAACCUCGGUUCGGCACUGGAUACUGUUAGGCUAGAAUGUGGUAGAGGUGAAGGGAAUUCCUGGUGUAGCGGUGAAAUGCGUAGAUAUCAGGAGGAACACCGGUGGCGUAAGCGCUUCACUGGGCCAUUAUUGACGCUGAGGAACGAAAGCCAGGGGAGCGAAUGGGAUUAGAUACCCCAGUAGUCCUGGCCGUAAACGAUGGAUACUAGGUGUUGCGGGUAUCGACCCCUGCAGUGCCGAAGCUAACGCGAUAAGUAUCCCGCCUGGGGAGUACGCACGCAAGUGUGAAACUCAAAGGA
rnacentral:rRNA from 1 species